UCUUACCUCAUCCAACACAACCCAAUGGCCUGCCUUCAGAGCUGCCAGCAAGGGGCCAUCCCGCCAGGCAAACUCUCCUCCCUUGCCACCUUCAACAGGUAGAUCUGCUCCAAACAGGAUCUCUAAUGGUUCCCUCAAAGAAGUCGCUGCCAUAUAGCCUACAAAGCUUAGAGUAAACAGGCUCUCUAAGGAAAAGCAGUGAGGCUCAGAGUCAAGUCCUAGGAGCUGCAAUGGCAACUGCCCUAUAGAGGAAAUGUUCACUCUGUUAAGCAUGAAGGCCACUGGUGAUGGAGCAAAUGUGGCAGUGUAAUGGCAGCUACAUUCUCUGCCAUUCUUAUCACAAUCCAAAUAACUUAUAAGAAGAGUACACAGCCCAAUAAAACAUACAGAGGCUACUAUGUCCUAGGGGGAUCUGGCCCCAAUACAGAGCCAAAAGGUAAACCAUUUUACCAGAAUUCUCACAAUAAGAGCAGGACUACAAACAGCACACAACCAAGAUGUUUCUACGAGUGGCAAGAAAGAGGACAGGAUGCAAGUUGGUCGCCCUUCCAUUUCUACGGGAUCUUUACUUUUCCUCCGAUUUUUUCUUUCCUUUAUUGACAACUUCUCCAAAGGAAUUUCCCAACCAUUCAAUAAUUUUCACCUAACCCAGAAAGAUAUGUGUAAGAAGAUUCAUUGUGUAUUAUUGCUGUGGCAUCAGAUAACUGAAAACAACGAAAAAAUCCUUCAAGCCCAGCCAAAGAAAAAAGCACACUGAGUGUUUAAGAGGGGGAAAAAGACACCCUACUGAUGCCAACAUACCUGCUCUCCAGGGACUGGUGGCUGCCCAGGCAGCACCACACCACAGACAGCAGUCACUCUGGAAGAGAGGUCAGCUGAAACAAGAUGUCCCUGUAAGUACUGCAGCUCCUUCUCAUUACGCCAAAGGGAGGUUUCUGGAUUAGCCAAAACCAAGGCCUUCUCCAAGUCCUGCAGCUGGGCCUCUUCUAGUAACCUGAGGAAAAUGAGGAACUCAUCAGUUACUUUAAUACACAACAAAGCCACAUGAACAUCUCUAGGAAUCCUCCUUCUUACCUCAACCUGAAAUGAAUC